UUUAGGUUUCAGCCUUGUGGCUAAGAUCAAGUGUAAUAUCUGUUCUUAUCAGUUUAAUAUCUGAUAAGUUCUCUAACUGAGGACCAUAUAUUAAAUAAAUAUUUUGGGCAUAGGAGUCAGAAGAAGAGCUUGCUCCAUCUGCUCCACACAUCUACCAGGUAUUGCAUUGCUGUAGGGACAGUGGUAGCUUAG